GCCCAUAGGUUGGGUCGUGACAUGGUAGUUGAAAAACAACUCGUUUAUCAUCACCUAGCAAGUCAAAAUCGUUCACCAAGGCAUGCUGCAAUUGUUGGAGACAUCUCAUAGCCAGAAAGCUAAAUAGAGGGGCUCCUACAAUAUAAGUCACCAUGCAUAGCUUUUUGUUACAACAGAAGAUUAAAGGAAACAUCUCCAAAGCUUCAAGGCAGACGACUUAAGCCCCAAGAACAAGCAAGGACUCAGGAAACAGCAGGACAUCACCAAAAAAACAAUAAAGAAAAAGAGUUUGGUGGUGCCUUUCGAUGACUCACUUGUGCCUUACGGGCCAUUUCAGGUACUCAACGACACCAUCUCUUGUAACGUUUCACUUCCUCUCGCCAUUCCAAAACCGAGUCUUGUGCCAAUGCCUGUGUACUUCCAAAUUCACCUGCAACACAGAUAAAAAAGUAACAAAAGAAAAGACACAAAAAAAAGCAGCCCAUAAAAAUGCCUUGCCACUGAGAACCAAUUGCAAACAAAGCCAAAGAACCAAUAUCUACACACCAACCAAGAGAUGGGGAGGAAACCAACGAUUGAGUCAAAGGGGGAGAGGCCUUCCUUUGGCCGUAGGGGAAUUGACUAACCAUGGCACUUUUUUAAGGAUCCUCAUUUUAUUCCUAACAGGCGCAAAGGUAAAAAGAUAGGUAUUCUGGUGCUCAGGUAAGGUUUUUACCUCAAAUCAAAUACCAAAUUCCAUACUUGUUUAAUAACAUUUUUUAUAUGGGAGAUAGAGAAGGAACUGGUAGAGAUAACUCCACUAACUAGGAUGAUAUUUGAUACUGAUUCAGCAGCUUGGUUGUCAUGAUUUUGUUCUAAGUCAAUAUCUUGGCAGGACAAGUGGUGUGUU
rnacentral:misc_RNA from 1 species